rnacentral:lncRNA from 1 species
GGCUGCGAGGGCCGCGCCGCCGCGGUCCUAGUGCCACCAGAGAAGCCGCGGACCCGGCCCGCAGAUAACACCCGGGCUUGCAGAGCGCUUUCAUCUGCCCGACGCGGAAAUCUCCUGCAGCGAUCUUCUACCUUCAGCGUGCAUCCGCAGCACCCAGAGGGCACGUUAAAGAGAGAUUGAGAACCACCAGCAAAACUGCUGAUUCACUCAGACCAGAUGGCAUCUGAGAUAAAAUACGCAUUGAAUAAGAUAAAUGACCGCUUGACUAUUACAUCCUUAAUGUGGAAUGUUAAAUAGACCCUUCCCAAAAAGAAACACUGCCUUGAACCAAUCAAAUUGCUAUGCGUUAACCUUCUAUGGAAAAUGUUGACAUCCUGUUAAGCUUCCCAGACCCUGCCUGUGUAAACGACCCUCAAACUUCUCCCUUUCGAAGCACUGACCCCCAUCUUUUGGAGUCUGUGUCCUACCGGGUCGCCAUCCUCAAACUUUGCACUCAAAUAAACCAAUAUUUAAUCAUA